CGCGCACACACACACACACACACACACACACAGACACACAGACAGACAGACAGACACGUUGUGUGAUCGAUGGAACUUUGUCUGCAGUGUCUCAGUCUACAUCUGUUUGUCACCUGGUCAAAUAAAUGAUUGUGUUUUUCAAUGUUUAUCUUAAGAUGCUGUUUAUCUUAUUUUUUGAAUUUUAUGUUGAAAGCCAAGUCGUCCACAUUGAGGUUACAGGUUCUCAGGGUGACCGGUUUCUCUCGUGUUGCAUUUUUCUCAAAUGUACUGCCACAUCCGUGACGUGCCCAAAAGAGUUUGAAAUGUAUGAAACAAUGGUAUUAGUACUAUUAAAUAUUUUCUCAUAGA